GAUGAACGCUAGCUACAGGCUUAACACAUGCAAGUCGAGGGGAAACGACAUCGCAAGCUUGCUUUUGAUGGGCGUCGACCGGCGCACGGGUGAGUAACGCGUAUCCAACCUGCCCAUCACUUGGGAAUAACCUUGCGAAAGUAAGACUAAUACCCAAUGACAUCCCACGAAGACAUCUGAAUGGGAUUAAAGAUUUAUCGGUGAUGGAUGGGGAUGCGUCUGAUUAGCUUGUUGGCGGGGUAACGGCCCACCAAGGCAACGAUCAGUAGGGGUUCUGAGAGGAAGGUCCCCCACAGUGGAACUGAGACACGGUCCAAACUCCUACGGGAGGCAGCAGUGAGGAAUAUUGGUCAAUGGGCGAGAGCCUGAACCAGCCAAGUAGCGUGCAGGAUGACGGCCCUAUGGGUUGUAAACUGCUUUUAUAAGGGAAUAAAGUGGGUCUCGUGAGACUUUUUGCAUGUACCUUAUGAAUAAGGACCGGCUAAUUCCGUG
rnacentral:rRNA from 1 species